rfam:Triticum aestivum genome assembly, contig: Triticum_aestivum_CS42_TGACv1_scaffold_221141_3B
GUGGUACUCCCUCCGUCCGAAAAUACUUGCUAUCAAAAUGGAUAAAAAAGGAUGUAUGUAGAACUAAUAUACGUCUAGAUACAUAUACAUCCCCUUUUAUUCAUUUUGAUGACACAAGUAUUUCCGGACGGAGGGAGUAUUUG